GAGGGAUCAUUACUGAGUUAUUAAAACUCCAAACCCUUUGUGAACCUUACUGUCGUUGCCUCGGCGUGAGCUACGGCUACCCUGUACUUACCCUAUAGCUACCCUGCAGCUACCCUAUAGUUGACCAGUAGCUACCCUGUAGUUACCCUAUAGCUACCCUGCAGCUACCCUAUAGUUGACAUGUAGCUACCCUGUAGCCGGCUUAUGGCCCGCCGAAGGACCGCUAAACUCUUGUUUUUUUACCACUGUUUCUCUGAAUUGUAAACUUAAAUAAGUUAAAACUUUCAACAACGGAUCUCUUGGUUCUGGCAUCGAUGAAGAACGCAGCGAAAUGCGAUAAGUAAUGUGAAUUGCAGAAUUCAGUGAAUCAUCGAAUCUUUGAACGCACAUUGCGCCCAUUAGUAUUCUAGUGGGCAUGCCUAUUCGAGCGUCAUUUCGACCCUUAAGCCCCUGUUGCUUAGCGUUGGGAAUCUACAGCGUAGUUCCUUAAAGUUAGUGGCGGAGUUAGGGUACACUCUCAGCGUAGUAAUCUUUCUCGCUCGUGUGGUGGCCCUGGCUGCUAGCCGUUAAACCCCUAUAUUUUCUAGUGGUUGACCUCGGAUUAGGUAGGAAUACCCGCUGAACUUAAGCAUAUCAAUAAGCGGAGGAA
rnacentral:rRNA from 1 species